rnacentral:rRNA from 1 species
GAUGAACGCUGGCGGCGUGCUUAACACAUGCAAGUCGAACGGAAAGGCCCUGCUUUUGUGGGGUUCUCGAGUGGUGAACGGGCGCGUAACACGUUAGUAACCUGCCCUUGACUUUAGGAUAACUUCAGGAAACUGGGGCUAAUACCGUAUAGCAGCUCCUGCUGCAUGGUGGGCGUUGGAAAGUGUCGGCGGAUGGGGAUGGUCUCGCGGCUGAUGAGUUUGUUGGUGGGGUAGUGGCUUACCAGGGCUUUCACGGGUAGCCGGCCUGAGAGGGUGACCGGCAAAAUGAGGACUGUGCUACGGCACAGAGUCGUACGGGAGGCAGCAGUGGGGAAUAUUGCCCAAUGGGCGGAAGUCGGAUGCAGGAACGCCGCGUGCGGGAUGACGGACUGCUGGUAGAAAACAGCUUUCGCCUGUGACGAAGCGUUAGUGACGGUACUGGAUGAAGAAGCACCGGCUAACUACGUG